rnacentral:rRNA from 1 species
GAUGAACGCUGGCUACAGGCUUAACACAUGCAAGUCGAGGGGAAACGACUGGGAAGCUUGCUUCCCCGGGCGUCGACCGGCGCACGGGUGAGUAACGCGUAUCCAACCUGCCUCUGACUGAGGGAUAACCCGUCGAAAGUCGGCCUAAUACCUCAUGGCAUCGUCUGCGGGCAUCCAACGACGAUUAAAGAUUUCAUCGGUCACGGAUGGGGAUGCGUCUGAUUAGCUAGUUGGCGGGGUAACGGCCCACCAAGGCGACGAUCAGUAGGGGUUCUGAGAGGAAGGUCCCCCACAUUGGAACUGAGACACGGUCCAAACUCCUACGGGAGGCAGCAGUGAGGAAUAUUGGUCAAUGGGCGAGAGCCUGAACCCGCCAAGUAGCGUGCAGGAUGACGGCCCUAUGGGUUGUAAACUGCUUUUAUGCGGGGAUAAAGUGAGGGACGUGUCCUUCAUUGAAGGUACCGCAUGAAUAAGGACCGGCUAAUUCCGUG